rnacentral:rRNA from 1 species
AGCGAACGCUGGCGGCAGGCCUAACACAUGCGAGUCGAACGAACCUUUCGGGGUUAGUGGCGUACGGGUGAGUAACACGUGGGAACGUGCCUUUAGGUUCGGAAUAACUCAGGGAAACUUGUGCUAAUACCGAAUGUGCCCUUCGGGGGAAAGAUUUAUCGCCUUUAGAGCGGCCCGCGUCUGAUUAGCUAGUUGGUUGAGGUAAUGGCUCACCAAGGCGACGAUCAGUAGCUGGUCUGAGAGGAUGAUCAGCCACAUUGGGACUGAGACACGGCCCAAACUCCUACGGGAGGCAGCAGUGGGGAAUCUUGCGCAAUGGGCGAAAGCCUGACGCAGCCAUGCCGCGUGAAUGAUGAAGGUCUUAGGAUUGUAAAAUUCUUUCACCGGGGACGAUAAUGACGGUACCCGGAGAAGAAGCCCCGGCUAACUUCGUG